UAACCAAUCUAAACUAAAGUCACACAGUUUUUAUUAAUGAUCGACUUCAUUAAGUUUAUUCGCCCUUAUUCGCAUCCUCCAGCGGAGCAUGGGUCGUUAUAGGUAUUUUGACUUGGUCGGAUCCAAACCUCGACAUCCCUUUUCUUUCUCUUGGCUGGUGCCAUUCCGACCAGGCAGAGGAUGACCAACAGAAAAAACAGCAGCGACUUCAUUUUUGUGCCAAAUCAACGAUAUUUCUCCUUUUAUAGUUUAUUCAUAUCAAGUUUUAGAAAUGGAUGAAUGGUAUUAUUAACGGAUACCACCAUGACCAAUUUUGACAUUUUCCAUAACCAACCAACACUAAAUAAACUAAAUGUCAAUAAUUUUCUGAGGGUAAGUUACAUAAGGAAAUCUAUAUUGCACUUAAAACGUAAUUAAUAUUAAAGUUCUGCACAAAUCAUUUGGCAUAACGAUGUGCGAUACUGGCCCACAUUUAUAUUCAAUUUAUUAAAGUAAAACGAGAAUAAAAGGUUUUAUGUUGACUUCUUAUUGAUAAAAUUAUAAAGAUGUUCCUUGUUAUUCCCGAGCUAAUAACAAAGUAUGUUUUUAUUAGAGAUGGGCAUGGCUAUCAACUAACUACUACUUUUCAACCCACGAAUUAUAUGAAUAAAACAAAACGGUUUAAAGUACUGUGGCCAUUUUAUUAAUAAACAAUAAUGUGGUUAUUAUUUGUACAAUUCCCCAAACGUUAUUUAAA
rnacentral:sRNA from 1 species